rnacentral:misc_RNA from 1 species
AAAGUCGUAACAAGGUUUCCGUAGGUGAACCUGCGGAAGGAUCAUUAACACGUAUCCAAUAAACAACCCUGUGAACUUUCAGCCUGCUCUUGUAGCCCAUGAGGAACAGCAAUCCCGGUAAAUCAUUGCCGAACAGUUUUGAUUCGGGACCUCUGUCCAAAAGGAGUUUACAAUUGAGCGGUAGAGGCAGUGGCAUGGCUUCCCCAAGCAGUCAGUGAAUGACAGUGUCACUGGCUGUGGAAGGAUAACGCCUCACCGACCGGCAGACAUGUCACAGGGCGCGCCCCUUAAUCACCCCUUGCCAAAUGCCCCGCCUAGUGGUAACGCGCUAGGUAAAAAAAACCGAACAACUGUUAACAAUGGAUAUCUUGGUUCUC